AUGGAGUGGCGACGGGCAGGGGCGCCCCCGGCAGAGCUGCGGUGGGCGACGGCCACGGCGCAGCCGGACGGCGAGAGGGCCGGGACGGCGCCAGGCACGGAGCCAGCCCAGGCCGGAGGCGGCCAGCGCGGGAGAAGCUCGCUGCGGGGGAGGGCCGGGGCGGCCUGGCACGGGGGCGCGCGGAUGCAUUGGUGCCCGUGGCCAGCAGCUGCUCAGGAGGAGCACGGAGGCGGGGGAGCUAAGUGCGCGGCGCCGGCGCUGCUCGUUUUGCCACGGCCGCGGGGCUACGCGCGGACGCAGCAUCCGCGAGCAUGCGUGAGAAGGAGGUAG
rnacentral:rRNA from 1 species